UGAGGAAUAUUGCGCAAUGGGGGAAACCCUGACGCAGCAACGCCGCGUGGGUGAAGAAGGCCUUCGGGUCGUAAAGCCCUUUCGGACGGGACGAACGCUUCGCGGUGAAAGCCGCGGAGUCUGACGGUACCGUAGGAAGAAGCACCGGCUAACUCCGUGCCAGCAGCCGCGGUAAUACGGAGGGUGCGAGCGUUGUUCGGAAUUACUGGGCGUAAAGCGCGUGUAGGCGGCCUUGCAAGUCAGGCGUGAAAGCCCUCGGCUUAACCGGGGAAGUGCGUCUGAAACUGCUUGGCUUGAGUACGGGAGAGGGAGGCGGAAUUCCCAGUGUAGAGGUGAAAUUCGUAGAUAUUGGGAGGAACACCGGUGGCGAAAGCGGCCUCCUGGACCGAUACUGACGCUGAGACGCGAAAGCGUGGGUAGCAAACAGGAUUAGAUACCCUGGUAGUCCACGAGGUAAACGAUGGGCACUAGGUGUGGGGGGUAUCCACUCCUCCCGUGCCGAAGCUAACGCAUUAAGUGCCCCGCCUGGGGAGUACGGCCGCAAGGUUA
rnacentral:rRNA from 1 species